UAACAGCACCUCAGCGGUAAGUGGAGAGCCUCCAGGUGAUGAAAUCCUCUCUAAAGUGACACAAAAUUGAGGCAAAUUGACAGCCAUGUGAAUGUGUUUAUAAAUGCUAGUGUGUGACACUGCUGUGUGAUAGCUGGGAUUUUAUUUUAUUUUAUUUUAUUCUAACUGAAUAUUGAGAUUUAAUCAACUAUAUUAAUCAACAAAAAUGAAAAAUGAAAUCAUUAAAAAAAAAGUUUUAGUUUCAUGAAAUAAAUUUAUCAAAUAAAAAUAGUAAAAUAAUGAAAUUCAUGAUUUUUUUUAAUUUUUUUUUUAUUACAUUUUAUUUUAUUGCAGCUAGCUGCAACAUGGGCCAAGGCAUUGUUUCUUUCUUUUUUUUAGUUACUAAAAUAACUUAAACUAAAACUAGAAUUAAAUUAAUAUUACAAAAUUACUAAAAAAUGCUAAGACUUUAACUAAAAUGAAAAUUAAAAUGAAAAUAAAAAGCUAAUUCAAAAUAUUAAUUAUUAUUAAAACUAUAAUGGUAAAGCAAUAAUAGUAAAAUAACACAGAUUCAAAUUCAUUAUUCUUAUUUCACUAAAACUAUGCAUAAAUGUAUAUUAGCAUUAUUCCUGUAAGUCAUUAUUCUUUCUAUUUUGCUAAAUUUGUUUAUUAGUAUAAUUUCUGUCAGUCUGAUAAAUGAGAAAAAUAUCAAUAAACAAUUAGUUGGAUUGUUAAAAAGUUGAAAAGAACAGUGUUUUAAUAGUUUUUACAGUUUUUCAUUACUGGUUGUUUUUGUAAAUAUCAGUUUUGCCUGAUUAUGAUAAUUCAUUUUUCAGCUUUUUGCAUUUUUAUUUCCCAGCCAUACUCUUUGCAUUCAGCAUCACUCUGUCAUAGGAAAGGUUGCACAUUCUCCUUAACGCACAGGUGAAUUGGGUGCACUGCUUCAAUCAAGGCUUCACUAUUGGGUUUGAGAGUCAUCUUAGCCCAGACAACAAAAGCAAACGCUACAGUGAGUGUCUCUACUGUAAGUGGCUUUUGAAGAAUUGGCACAGUCAUCUGGCGAACACCUCACAUCUCUCACAAACAAAUGAAGGUCUGGCGCUUCAAAGUGAGAUUGAUAUCUCUCUCUGAACUUCAACCAGAAUAUUCUGAAUAUUGAGAGAGGUGCACUCCUCCCACGGGACCGCCUAGGCGCCUCUCUCCUCCCUCGUUCCGCCAAAGAGGGGGAAAAAGAUUGCCCCUGAUCUUCCAUGUUCAUCAAUAUUCACUCAUUCAUCGUGAGCCAUGGCAGCUGAAAUUUGGCCUACUAUUGCUGAAUGGAUGACCCAGGGAUCCACUGUGUUGUCAUGAGGUUGUCUGCAAUUGAGAUUUAGGGUUAAAACAGAACAAUACACAAUUUUUAUGAAAUUCAGACUCAUCUACAUAUUUUAUGUUGUGACAGAAAACUUUUCAAUUUGCUCUGCAAGUUCUUAAGAUUACCCAGCCAUUUAAUAAGCCUAGAAUAGAUGUAUCUACUUGUUCUGCUUUCUGUUUGCCAAAUAUUAAAUUGUUUUUCCCUUUCUGUUUUUACUUAGAAAUAUUUUUCAAAUAAAAUAAAGGAAACUACUGCAAAAAAAUCUUGCCAUAAAUCAAUAAAUAUUGCUGAAUUCUAGCACAGGAUUUAAUCUACUGUACUGAAUUAUUGAUAUUAAACUGAAUUUGCAAAAAGUUAAAAUGUCUUAAAUGUCUUUGCAGUUGCAAUGUGAACAUAGAGAAUGCAAUAUCAUGCACAUGGAUAUGCUUAAAAAACAUUUGGGUUUACUGUAAAACAUCCACAAGGAAACUUAAUUGUAAUACAGACAAAAUGCACUAUCAAUCAGGUUUGCUUCUCUGUUAGUAUCUCCACAGCUGUAUGUCUCUAUUAGUGUAUCUUUCCGAGAACUCCUUAGUAGCCAAAUGAAGAGGCAAACACAGAUGAUAAUGAUGGUGGUGCUCAUGAUAUAGAUCGCUGAAACACUUUGAGUGGAAUAACAGCUUAAGGUGAGAAAAUCUUUUUAUUUAGAAUUUGUUUAUACUACAAGGCUGUGGAAAUGAUCAUAUGUAAACAACAUCCCAGAUGGUGAAUAUAUGUUAGAAAUAUGUUCUUUUGUCAACAUUCCCAUUAAGUUAUGAGGACAUUCUUUCUGAAUGUUCACUUAAUGUUCAAAAUGUCCAGUUUUUUUAAACAUAUAUAAAAAAAUAUUGGUCAUGCAAACAUUAAAGAAAUGUUCCAUUUAUUUAUGGGAACAUUACUCUUGAAUGUUGUCUUGAACAUUCUGAAACAAAUAGUAAGUACAUUAAUAACAUUGAAUAUCGUCAUUAAAGACCAGAUAACUUUGAACAAAUGUUCUAUUAAUUUGACUUGGAACAUUUUUGAAAGAAUCUUGCCAGAAUGUUAGCCAAGGUUCUGAGAAUGUCCACUGUUAGCUGGGAAACAGGACUACUGUAAUACAAGAGUAUACUGCAAAAGGAGUGCCUUAAUAGUGUGUUGACUGUGAUAUAAUUUGUGCUAUGAAGCACUGAAGUAAUGUUGUGUGUUUUGGUUAAUAUAUAAAUAUAUUUAUUGUUACAGACUCAACCACAAAAGCCUCAAUCAUAAGAAUCCCACCUCCAGGUAAACCACCACAUUUAAAAUUCCAGGUAAAUGUUUAUGUGACAAUUUCUAUGUUGUCACUGUGAAUUGUACUAAUAAAUCACCACAGUUGCAUAUAUUUUCUAUGGCGGAAAUUUCCCUGAAUGCAAUCUCUACAUGCAUGCAUGUCACAGUCUUCGUAACGCACAACAAAAACUACUCCACAAUGAUCUCCCCUCAGAGGUAAAUCAAUAAUUGCAGAGCUACAAAAGAGUGUUUUGUCCUAAAAUGGUAAUUAGCAUGGGUCUUGACCUCCCUCAUGGCAUCUCUCAGUCGCCCAUCUGAGAGCCAGGGCAUGUCCAGAGCUGACACUUAAUGACGCUAACAUUACACACUCGCUGAACAUUGUCGGGCUUUUGUCUUCAUUCACAUCGAAAUGAAGUUCUUGGGGCCCACGUUUAUCAAUCAUGGUGGGGCUCCAGCUGUUCACCAGUCUUUGGCCUGACUUCAACAGCCGAGCUUACAAAUUGUCUCUGAAUAGUGUGGAGCUCUGCCUCCCCACCCUUCCACCCCCUUUUUGUCACUGUCUCCUGACAAAUGUUCCACUGCAGCUUUUCCCAGACAUGGCCGACCCUACCUUCUGCUCCUCGCCAUUCAGAGGGGGGUUCUGGCCUCAUGUUCCUCUCACAAGAUGAGCAUGGUAAUCUGCAGUGGUAGCCAUUCAGACUGUUACUGAAAUGCGUAAUGUUGCGAUGUUCUACUGGGUAUCAAGAACGGCAUUGAAAGAGAACAUAAAAAAGCCACAUCUGAUGAAGUAUUUGUAAAAGCCUUCUGAUGCAUUAAUAAGAUGUGUUUGUGAUCUCUCUUCACUACUUUCUAGAUCGCCUGCUACCUGACGUCCAUCAAACAUUUCUCUUGAGAAACUUAAAACAAUAGAAAACAAAAACCAACAUGGGUGAAGAGAUGUGGCUGCCUCAGAGGGAUGAAUGACUGACUGAUACAGUUUCUCUUUCACUGUGCUUUGAAAAGUGAAAUAAUCAAGAUAGAUGGGCAGAUGAAUUAGUUGUCUUCCAAGGUCAAACGCUGAUUGCCUUAUUACUCUAUUACUCCAUUGUUGUGAAACUGUUACCGCUGACACUUUUUCAUGAUAUUCUUUACAUCCACAAAAGAGAAGGAAUGAGUGAAGGAGUGAGAGAGAUACAAAUUGAUUGUUUGGCGGCCAAAUCAGUCAUAGUCAUCUUGGGUGGAAGGAUUAAUGGGUCUGAUGGCUGUUGCAGGUUCAGGCAGGGAGACGGGCAGAAAACAAGAGAAAUUGGUUUGGGCCCCCGGGAGCUGAAUCGAUAUUUCCUCCUGAAAUGGGCCCAAGGAGGUCAGCAGCUGUGACAAAAAUCAAAAUCCAUUUUCUGUGGCCAAAUGUAAUGAGGACCAAAUGGUGGAUGUUCCAUUCAUCUCUCCGGCCUGUCUGAGCACUCUUAGGCCACAGGCAGCAGGCUUGUGAAGGCAGGUGUGAAAGCUGCGGGGAGUCUUAUGUGCAACCCCAUGAUGCUCUGUAUACAAGCAUGACAUUUUAACUAGGGUUUUUUUUUAAAUAUAUAUAUAGUUAUUACAUAUAUAAUUAUUUAUUAAAUCACCACAUCAAUCUAUGUGCAUAUAAGAUAAAUCGUCCUGGUUAGAGGUCCAUCUAAUCAGGCAUUACAAAAUAAACUCUAUUCUGGCUUCAAGAGUGGGCCAUUGUUCCCUAUAAAUUGUUCCUAUUUGUGGACAAAAUAGGGUUUGCUUCGCAUACUGAGAAACAUCACAUGAAAAUUGCUCUAGGAUUAUGACUGAGAGCCCCUCUUCAAUCUUCAGAAAGUCCACCCACACAAAAUCUGGCUGAGCAAUUCACUAUGGUGAAGUUAGACCUUGUGUGCGGCCAGAAUAUACUUUGCAACCGAAUUCAUGUAAAAUUAAUCAACUCCCCACUGUAAUUCCAAAUAUUUGCCACGUGGACUGAUUGGGGUCAACGGCUCAAUUCAACAUCAGGGGAGCGCAAACUCCACAUCAUGAUUGAUUGCCAGCAUAGUCACACAUAUUAUUAUGAAAUGAGUUUGUUAGCUUUGAAUUGGCUGGUUAUGCACCACUAUUUUAGGGUUUUGUGCUAUUUUCAGUGAGGCAAGCAUGGAUCAGAGAGUCAAGAAGGCUUGAUGAUGUCGUUUUGAAACUCUCACCUGGUUAAUCUGGCAAGAGCACUUGUUUCAGUGAUGAUAAAAUAGUCCUGAACUCCA